CGCAAGCCUGACGGAGCAAGACCGCGUGCGGGAUGACGGCCUAAUGGUUGUAAACCGCUUUUCUCUGGGAAGAUGAUGACGGUACCAGAGGAAUCAGCCUCGGCUAACUCCGUGCCAGCAGCCGCGGUAAUACGGAGGAGGCAAGCGUUAUCCGGAAUUAUUGGGCGUAAAGCGUCCGCAGGCGGCUAAUUAAGUCUGCUGUCAAAGCCCACAGCUCAACUGUGGAUCGGCGGUGGAAACUGGUUAGCUUGAGUGCGGUAGGGGUAGAGGGAAUUCCCGGUGUAGCGGUGAAAUGCGUAGAUAUCGGGAAGAACACCAGUGGCGAAGGCGCUCUACUGGGCCGCAACUGACGCUGAGGGACGAAAGCUAGGGGAGCG
rnacentral:rRNA from 1 species